rnacentral:misc_RNA from 1 species
CGAAUCAGCGUUUCAAAAAAUUGUAUUUUAAUUGGCGUUGUCUUUAACGUAGAGCAUAUCAAUCAGCAUUACUGUCUUCAACACGCGAGGCGAAUAGACAUCAGACAUGAUACGGACAUUAUUAAUGAACACUCAUUUUUGUCCCGGGGCACUCCUGUUAAGCAUUAAGUAGGCCACCGUGAGGUUUUAAUCGGUGAGAGUCCGACUACCCCGCUGCUUCAACAAAGAACAGCGACGGGGUGACCAUGAGGAUCUCCCCACGUGAAAGUAUUAUAUCGGGUUCGGUGUCCUUACAAAAGUCUUUCUCCCUGGACACAGUCUUAUGUUUCUUACCGUCAUAUCUGUAUAGAAUAUACGAAUCUGAUAUAAGAGUGGUAGUUACAGGAUGUCUGAAAUCAGACGUUG